rnacentral:rRNA from 1 species
UACGUAGGCAGCGAGCGUUGUUCGGAGUUACUGGGCGUAAAGCGUGCGUAGGCGGUGGUCCAAGUCUGGUGUGAAAUCUCCCGGCUCAACUGGGAGGGUGCGCCGGAAACUGGGCCGCUGGAGUACGGGAGAGGCAAGCGGAAUUCCAGGUGUAGCGGUGAAAUGCGUAGAUAUCUGGAGGAACACCCGUGGUGCAGACGGCUUGCUGGGCCGUGACUGACGCUGAGGCACGAAAGCGUGGGUAGCAAACAGG